GAGAUUUGACUGUGGCUCGCAAGAGAACCGGAACACAGGUGCUGCAUGGCUGUCGUCAGCUCGUGUCGUGAGAUGUUGGGUUAAGUCCCGCAACGAGCGCAACCCUUGUCAUUAGUUGCUACGCAAGAGCACUCUAAUGAGACUGCCGGUGAUAAACCGGAGGAAGGUGGGGAUGACGUCAAGUCCUCAUGGCCCUUAUGGGUAGGGCUUCACACGUCAUACAAUGGUCGGGACAGAGGGUUGCCAAGCCGCGAGGCGGAGCUAAUCUCAUAAACCCGAUCGUAGUCCGGAUUGCAGGCUGCAACUCGCCUGCAUGAAGUCGGAAUCGCUAGUAAUCGCGGAUCAGCAUGUCGCGGUGAAUACGUUCCCGGGUCUUGUACACACCGCCCGUCACACCAUGGGAGUGGGUUUUACCAGAAGUAGUUAGUCUAACCGCAAGGAGGACGACUACCACGGUAGGAUUCAUGACUGGGGUGAAGUCGUAACAAGGUAGCUGUAGCGGAAGCUGCAGCUGGAUCACCUCCUUU
rnacentral:ncRNA from 1 species